UACGGAGGAUCCGAGCGUUAUCCGGAUUUAUUGGGUUUAAAGGGUGCGUAGGCGGUUUGAUAAGUUAGAGGUGAAAUGUCGGGGCUCAACCCCGAAACUGCCUCUAAUACUGUUGGACUAGAGAAUAGUUGCGGUAGGCGGAAUGUAUGGUGUAGCGGUGAAAUGCUUAGAGAUCAUACAGAACACCGAUUGCGAAGGCAGCUUACCAAACUAUAUCUGACGUUGAGGCGCGAAAGCGUGGGGAGCAAACAGG
rnacentral:rRNA from 1 species